rnacentral:tRNA from 1 species
GUGCCCGUAGCUCAGCGGUAGAGCUUCUGACUUUUAAUCAGGAGGUCGAUGGUUCGAUCCCAUCCGGGCACACCA